rnacentral:rRNA from 1 species
CUACGGGUCGCUGCAGUGGGGAAUAUUGGACAAUGGGGGAAACCCUGAUCCAGCAAUGCCGCGUGUGUGAAGAAGGCCUGCGGGUUGUAAAGCACUUUCGGUUGGGAGGACUGCUUCUAGCACUAAUAUUGUUGGAAGUUGACGUUACCUUCAGAAGAAGCACCGGCUAACUCCGUGCCAGCAGCCGCGGUAAUACGGAGGGUGCAAGCAUUAAUCGGAAUUACUGGGCGUAAAGCGCGCGUAGGCGGCUAGAUCAGUCGGGUGUGAAAGCCCCGGGCUUAACCUGGGAACUGCAUCCGAUACUGUCUAGCUAGAGUACAGGAGAGGAGAGUGGAAUUCCACAUGUAGCGGUGAAAUGCGUAGAUAUGUGGAGGAACACCAAUGGCGAAGGCAGCUCUCUGGCCUGAUACUGACGCUGAGGUGCGAAAGCGUGGGGAGCAAACAGGAUCAGAUACCCGGGUAGUC